AGUGUGAUGUAGUGGUUUGGUUGUUGGACUGUGACUCUGGAGACCAGGGUUCGAAUCCCAGCUGAACUA